GGGGGGGGGCAGGAGCAGCGUUGUUCUACGCCCGUGGCGUGUCCCGGCAGCCUGGCGGCUCCAAAACACUCAGAGAGAAUCGCGUCUUCCCUCCCGGGCGCUGAAGAUGUGGCAACACGAAUUGCGUUUUAUAGGUAUGUCUGAGCGAUGCAAGGGCAUGCGAACGACUUUUCAGAGAGAAUGUGAAUACAUUUGGUAUGUACUAAAAAGCUGGAAGCCCCUAAGUAAACGCAGUAUCCAUAGGAAGGGAGUUUCUUGAAGAGUCACCUGCUAAACUCCACUAGCGUCAUCUUUGCAAUUGCUAUGAGAGUGACUACCCAACAAUGUUGGUGUAAUGGAAGACAUUACAGUCUCAAGGAAUAAUUGGUUGAGAGUCAUGAAAGUAAGGAUGGUAAGUGAUUUUUAAGAACUAAAAGAAAUCCAGAGUGUAUGAAGUAGGGAGAAGAAAAAGAGAGGCACACUCCAAUUGCAAAGGCAGCAAAGUCAAGAAAUCUACAAUUCUUUGAACUCUUGCUAAACAGUAGAAACAAUAAAAAUCAUUGACAAAGUGGAUGGAAAAUAGAAAAGAGAUAAACCAAGGAUGUUUAUGAAAAUUUCCCCCUUUGAAAUUGAAAGACAUUGGCAUGGAGAAGACUUCAUGUGGCAAAGUUUUGGAGGAAAGACUCAGAGCUUGUUUUUUGUCACAUUCUAUGAAGGGUUUAUCAAUCAGCCAAGUGGGAGGUCUCAAUUAUGUAUUUAGGUAUAGAAUCUACAGUUAAGGGUAGAGGACUGUUUGCAAAUAUACAUUUGGAAAUUUCAACGCUUAAUAUUUAAACUAAUGAGAUGGAAUGAGAUUACCAAAGAAAUGAGUUAAUGUGCAAGGGCUAAAUAUAAAUAUGUUGAGAAAAAUGUGACAGUGAACUUGUCCAAUCUCAUUUCCCAACAGAGAGCUAAGCAUUCCAGACCAUUUUUGAAGCUUUUAUACUGGCUAUUUGAUUUGGGAUUUGGAGACUUGUGUUUAUGUAAAAGGAAUUGUACUCUAUAUAUUGAACUGCAGUUUGUUUUGGUCUGUAAUGACAUGAUGAGGAACACUUUCUUUUUUAGUAUAUAGAAUUCUAUAGGAUUACUUUUAACUGCUUUAUCAUUUCUAGUGAUAUUGUUGUACCAUAGUUUGCUUAAUUAUAAUUUUAUUUAGGGAAUUUUUAAUUUUUAAUAUUUAAUUACACUUGAGGUGGAGGCUGCUUGAACACAAAAGAAAUUAAAUCAAUAAUGAGGGAGGAGAUAAUUUAAAUAUUACACGUAAUGCUGACUAUCAUCUAAUUAAUUUGCAAACGCUUGGGUGUGAAUAUGAAUUUUCAUGUGGAUUUCAUGUUUAUUUAUUUCUAUUUUUAAAAGAUUUUAUUUAUUUUUUCAUGAGAGACACAGAGAGAGAGGCAGAGACAUAGGCAGAGGGAGAAGCAGGCUCCCUGCAGGGUACCCGAUGCAGGACUCAAUCCCAGGACCGUGGGAUCACAACCUGAGCCAAAGGCAGACGCUCAACCACUGAGCCACCCAGGUGUCCUGGAUUUCAUAUUUAUUAUCUCAUUGGGUCCCCAUGCUACUUCUUGUCCUACUAAUAGCCUACUAAUGGUAAGUAAAUAGUAAGAUAAUCUUACCAUGAUGAUGAGUGGGAUACUAAUGUUUAUAGAGAAGAGUUUUUAGUGUCACUGGGUUUCUGAAUUCCAGAGCAUACUUCAUUUGAUCAAUUGGCUGAAACCUAUUUGCUAAAAGCUAAAGUAAAGUUUUUGCAGGACUGACUGAGAUGCUAUGUAAACCUUUCAAUGAAAACUGCCUUUUUACAAGUAAUGCUCUUAUUAUUUAAUAUUCACCUCAUGUGCUUCCCUUAAAACCCAAGCCCUGAAUAAGAUGCCACACCACUCUGCAAGUAAUGACGAGGCAAACUUCCCCAGUGCAUACUAUAUAUCUUAGUGCACAAAGGUAUAAUUUUGUAGGAUAUAUUUCUAAAAGUGGCAAUGCUGUGUGUAAGGGUUUACAAAGUUAUAAUUUUCCUCAUACUCCCAAAUGAUCCUCUGGAGGCUACAAGAGCUUACACUCUUUCCAACAUCGCAUGGGAGCUCCAGUUACCCCAUCUUUGAUAACAUGGAUACUAUCAAUCUUUUAAAUUUUUGCAAAUAUAGUUGUUAUUGUUUUAAUUGUCAUUACCCUGGCCACUUUGAGAUUGAAUACCUUUUCACAUCAUUGCUUCUGUUUAUGUAUUUUUACAUUCCUACACAUAUAUUUGUCUCAUUUCAAUUGUGGUUUAAUUUUCUUUGAAAAUAUUUGUAGUUGUCCUUUGUAUUGAAUCCACAUGAAUUCUUUAUUUCAUGUACUAAAAUAUUUCCAUCAAAUCUUAAUUUAUUCAUAUGUUAAUUUGUUUACAGUAUUGCUUAUCAUAAAGAACUCUUUUUUGGGGGCACCCAGGUGGCUCAGUUAGCUAAGUAUCCAUAUCGGGCCUGCUUCUUUUCCCUCUGCCCUUCCCCUCCAUUCAUACUCUCUCUCUCAUGCUCUCUCUCUUAAGUAAAUAAAUAAAAUCU
rnacentral:lncRNA from 1 species